rnacentral:rRNA from 1 species
GUCCCGCCUGCCCUGUGACUGUAAGUUUAACGGCCGCGGUAUUUUGACCGUGCAAAGGUAGCGCAAUCACUUGUCUUUUAAAUGAAGACCUGUAUGAAUGGCAUAACGAGGGCUUAACUGUCUCCUUUUUUCAGUCAAUAAAAUUGAUCCCCCCGUGAAGAAGCGGGGAUAUACACAUAAGACGAGAAGACCCUAUGGAGCUUCAGACUCCAGAGUAGACCACGUUAAGCAUCCCUAAUUUAAAGGGUAAAACUAAGUGGCCCCCACUCUAAUGUCUUUGGUUGGGGCGACCGUGGGGAAACAAAAAACCCCCACAUGGACCAGGAGCACCAAACUCCCACAACCCAGAGCCACAACUCUAAGUAACAGAACCUCUGACCAACAAGAUCCGGUACAAACCGAUCAACGGACCAAGUUACCCUAGGGAUAACAGCGCAAUCCUCUUUUAGAGACCAUAUCGACAAGAGGGUUUACGACCUCGAUGUUGGAUCAGGACAUCCUAAUGGUGCAGCCGCUAUUAAGGGUUCGUUUGUUCAACGAUUAAAGUCC